GAGCCUGCGAGGGGGAGGCGAAUCGCUAAAAGACCGUCCCAGUUCGGAUUGCAGGCUGCAACCCGCCUGCAUGAAGUUGGAAUCGCUAGUAAUCGCGGAUCAGCAUGCCGCGGUGAAUACGUUCCCGGGCCUUGUACACACCGCCCGUCACACCAUGAGAGUCGGGAACACCCGAAGUCCGUAGCCUGACCGCAAGGGGGGCGCGGCCGAAGGUGGGUUCGAUAAUUGGGGUGAAGUCGUAACAAGGUAGC
rnacentral:rRNA from 1 species